UUACAUAGUCGACGCAUCGCUACGCAUACGCGUCCAAAAGGCUACGUGACGCAACGCUUCGGCCGCCAUUAUGCGUCGACGCGUAGCAAAACGCGUCCUCCAAAUUUUUGAUACGCGACGCGCCGAUCCAUGCAAUACCAUGCGUUGUCGGUGGGGGCGAUACUGCAAAUAUUGUACAUUAUAACUACUAUAGGUUAUAUUUACAGAAGAACAUAUGAGAGGAUGCGGGAACGUGAUAAGAAUGACUUGACUGCUAUUUUGAUGCGCGACAUCAAACAGCUGAUGCGGGAUUGUGAGCCAUUUUAAUGAUCUUCUUGUCACCCGAUAUUCGUUCUAUUACUGGCCUUAUUUGUUUUAGUGUUAGCCUAUUUGAAUUAAUUACGUAAUGUUUUGUGUUCACGUUCUAUGUGAAACAUAAAUGUUCAUGUUCUGUGUGAAACAUAAGUUCAGUAGCCUCUUUGAGUGAAUGAAAUUUGAAAGCGUGAGUGUGUAGUGAAUGAAAAAUGUGUGCGUGUAUGGUGGGACUAUUUUCUGUAUUUGAUAAAUAAACCCCUUUUCUCUAAUAA